rnacentral:rRNA from 1 species
AGGAAUAUUGGUCAAUGGCCGGGAGGCUGAACCAGCCAAGUAGCGUGAAGGAUGACGGCCCUACGGGUUGUAAACUUCUUUUAUGCGGGAUUAACGUGAGGUACGCGUACCUUAUUGCAGGUACCGCAUGAAUAAGCAUCGGCUAACUCCGUGCCAGCAGCCGCGGUAAUACGGAGGAUGCAGGCGUUAUCCGGAUUUAUUGGGUUUAAAGGGAGCGCAGACGGCAUGUCAAGUCAGCUGUGAAAGUUCGGGGCUCAACCUUGGAAUUGCAGUUGAAACUGGCGUGCUUGAGUUCGGUCGAGGCAGGCGGAAUUCGUGGUGUAGCGGUGAAAUGCUUAGAUAUCACGAAGAACCCCGAUUGCGAAGGCAGCCUGCCAGGCCUGGACUGACGCUGAUGCUCGAAAGUGCGGGUAUCGAACAGGAUUAGAUACCCUGGUAGUCCGCACGGUAAACGAUGGAUACUCGCUGUCGGCGAUACACGGUCGGCGGCCAAGCGAAAGCGUUAAGUAUCCCACCUGGGGAGUACGCCGGCAACGGUGAAACUCAAAGGAAUUGACGGGGGCCCGCACAAGCGGAGGAACAUGUGGUUUAAUUCGAUGAUACGCGAGGAACCUUACCCGGGCUUGAACUGUGCCUGACUGCCUCAGAGAUGGGGCUUCCAGCAAUGGCAGGCAUGGAGGUGCUGCAUGGUUGUCGUCAGCUCGUGCCGUGAGGUGUCGGCUUAAGUGCCAUAACGAGCGCAACCCCUCCCGCCAGUUGCCAUCAGGUAAAGCUGGGCACUCUGGGGGCACUGCCACCGCAAGGUGUGAGGAAGGUGGGGAUGACGUCAAAUCAGCACGGCCCUUACGUCCAGGGCUUCACGCAUGCUACAAUGGCCGGUACAACGGGAUGCGACACGGCGACGUGGAGCGGAUCCCUGAAAACCGGUCUCAGUUCGGAUUGGAGUCUGCAACCCGACUCCAUGAAGGCGGAGUCGCUAGUAAUCGCGGAUCAGCAACGCCGCGGUGAAUGCGUUCCCG